GACAAAGGUUCACUGGGGGAAAGCUAGCUCUCCAUUGUAGUAGCAGAGUUGGUGAAGUCAUCUAAGCUGUACUGGAUCAAGUUUUGUUGAUAUGGUACUUAAUUUGACGGCUGGAAUAAUUGACCUCGAAACUGAACAAGUACCAUGGCUACUCAACGUUAGAUGCCUCAUGCUAGACGUCUUGAAUCCUAGAUGCCUGUAUGCUAACAAGAUGCUUCUACACUGGAUAUCAUUGUGAUAGAUGCCUGGUGACACCUGGAUGAUAAAUGCCUGUAUGUUAGUGUCUCUUUCCCAGAAUCCUAGAUGCCUGUAUGCUGAUUAGAUGCCUCUACGUUAGAUACCGUUGUGAUAGAUGCAUGCUGACACCUCGAUGCAAUGCCAGUAUAUUGCAUGCCUGUACGCUUGAUGUCUUUAAGCCGGAUGUCGGUAUGUUGGAUUACCUCUAUGCGUGAUGCUCCUAUUUCUUCACAGAAUGUGAAUCCAAUUGACAAUCCCCAACUUCGAUAAGGGUACAAGUUUUUAAUAUGACUUUAAGCACACAAGUUUAAAUCUUUCUAUAAACAGUGGGGCUAUAUUAACUUGCAUCGAACGCCUCCAUGACUCAGCACACAGAUGGGGGCACAAUCAAAGUGAUGAAGUGUCAGGGCAAUGAGAUGACAACUAUUUCAGUGUACAAUUUGUUCAGCGGGGGUGGAAUUAUGGGGUGUUGCAAACCGUUUUUGGGGAGUGUGACACCUCCCACCCACAGCCCACCUUCGAUAUGCCACUGAAAAGUAAGAAUCCUGUAGAAUCACUUUCACCCUGGUACUUUUUCUGUUUUGUUUUAUUAUUCUGGGAGUUCGUAUAUUAUUAAGGGAUAUUGAGGAGAAAAUUGAUCUGGGGUAUAAUGUCAGGGUUAAUUCAAGUUGUCAAUGCAUUAUAUAUUUCAUUCAUUAAUGUUCAGCUUAUCAGUUGUUUAGGGAAAAUUAACUUUCAUAGCCCAUAAUUCUCUCUUGACAUAUUUGACCUACAUUUUUGUUUUGAAUUAUGUUUUUUUUUCUAAUUUUGAAAUAUAACCCUGAAAGUUUUAAAAAAAAAAAUAAAUAAAUGAAUCCAAAGUCUAAUGCAAAAUGUACAUCACACUUUUUAAACCAGACUCUGAACAAGGAGUGAUUUGAACUUCAGAUCACAUAAAAUUAAAGAGUAUGUAUCAUAUUCCCAGUGCUCCAUUGAUUUCCAAUCAUCAUACAUUUUAACUUCUGACUGUACAUAAAAAAGGAAAAUGACUUUUAUGUGGUUGAUGUGACUCAGAAAGCAAUUAUUAAAAAGAAAAAAAAAAACCUCUCUAAGAUUAUUUCAAGAAAUAACCGUCUGUAAACUUCCAUCAAAGUAAAGUGAUAUAAGUUGGGAUCAGUCACUGAUGAAAAAUAACUAACUUCGUUUUAAAGAUUUGCUGAUAGCGAGUGCUAUAUCUAUCAGUACUUCUAAUGCCAUCGACAUAUGUGAUGAAUUCAUCUGUCACUCGGUUGUUGUUCUUCUACGUAUUAACCUCAAAGUUUGAAUGAUUUUGUAACGUCUGAUAUAAUUUUAUCAAAUUCAAGCAUAUAUCACUUGAUUUAAAGUAUAAUAAUCAAAUUAUGAAGUGUUUAUAUAUAAAGAAAUCUGUAUAUAUAAAGAAAUCUUGAAUAAUGCAGAUAGGCUCAGAACUAAAGAAUGCAUAAAAUGUGUGUAAAUUUAUCAUAUUUGAAUUUCCAUUGCAAUUUAAAAAAAAAUAAACAUAUAAUUUUACCUGGUCUUACUUUAAUGGAAAUAAUUAUCCAUUGGAACCAAAAAACAAUUAAAAUAUUUCUUUAAUUUGUUUUAUCUAGUUUAUGAGAAGUCAACCAUUCUCAAAUAAACCACCAAUGGAUUUAUUUCAUAUCAUUAUUUAUUUGGUCUUUCAAAUAUUGUACACAACAGAAAGUUUAUGCUGCUGGGUUGGUUUCUGUAAGUCAUGUAUCUCUGCUACAAAAAAAACAAAAAAACUAAAACAAGACGUACUCAUUGCAUUUGUUUUAUCUACGUUUAUGAGAAGUCAACCAUUCUCAAAUAAACAACCAAUGGAUUUCUUUAAUUUCAUUAUUUAUUCGGUUUUAGAAAUGUACAUAACAGGAAAUUUAUGCUGUUGGGUUGGUUUCUGUAAGCCAUGUAUCUGUGCUACAAAAAAAAACAAGUACUCAUUACAUGUACAUAUUUUUUUUAUAUGUAAUUGUAAUAAAAAAAUGUUGAGUCAUGUCUUUACUACUGUAAAAAGAUGACUGGCCCAGACGUUUCCUAAAAAACGUACACAACCCACUAAUUAAAAGCCGUGUUCAAGUGAAUUUACAUGAUGUCUAAACAACAUUGAGCAGAAUCAAACAAAAUCUGUUUACAUGUAGGAUAGUUUUAUUAAAAUGCUUUGAGGUUUAACUUACCCAUGUUAAAAGUGCGAUCACAUCCUAACCAUGUGACUGGUUUUGGCAAAACCCUACAUUUUCGCAAUCUCUAAUUUCGCGCUAACACCCAAAACGACAAAAACAAAAAAAAAACAAAAAAACAUAAAUUUCGGGUUUUUGCAGUUAUAUCAAAGCAGAUACAUUGGAAGAACAUUUCUGCAAAAUAUUAAUUGCUAAAUCCAACUCAAAAGCAUAUUAAAAUUAUUAUUAAAAUACAAACCCUAAUAUUAAAUUGUUGAUUUUGGAAUUUUUGAAGCUGUUUUCUCAAAACCUCGGCUAAUAUCCAGUUAAUUAAAUAUUCAUAACUUCGCUAAUACUCAAGCAAUUUCAAUCAAAUAGACACUAUUUUAAAUAAGAAUUCAUGCAGAAUUUUAAAAAUACCAAAAAAGUUAAUAUUGAAUUUUCCCAACAAACGGUGGAUUUUGUCAAAGACGGUCACAUAUUCCAUGAUGAAAAUGCAACCUUACUAAUUUAUAUAUGAAAAUUAAUUUUAAAACAAAAUUUAUUGAAAAAAAAGAAGAUCAACGUCCAUCAUGGACACAAAAUCAGCCUUAAUUAUUUCUUUAUAUAUAAAAGAGGUAAAGAAGUAAAAAAAAAAAAUUGAAAUAAGCCUUUAAAUUUAAAAAAGAAAAAAAAUUUAAUACUAAAUAAUGAUGGGGCAUGACAAAAUACUCUAAGAAAUUAUUCCCAACUUGGGGCCUCUACAUGGAUGGAUCAUUCCUUAAUAAUAUUAGUAUUCCAUAUUAUAUUUCUUAUGUUAGUCAUUAACAAUUGUGUUUCAAUUGAAUAUAUAUUUAUAUCUUAAGUUACUAUUUUACAAGCAAAUCCUAAGUAUUAUUACAUUAUUAUACAAAGUUGGCAAAUAUCUCUAUCCUUGAACCACAUACAUUUCUUCAAUAUAAACUGCUUUUUUUUUAUACUUCUAUUAUGUUCAUUCACCAUCAGCUGUUUGAGCCACAGCUGCCAUGCUGUACUGUAAUUUGUAAUGCCUUACCAGAAACUGUAAGACAGUCAAGCCCUCUGAUAACUUUCAAAAAAAGAACUAUAUUUAAAGCAAUUUUAUAUUGAUCUGCAUUGUCUGUUUCAUGGGUGACAUAUAUAUAUUUUUUUUCUGUCAAGAGGUUUUAUCUAUGGUGGCUACCCCAAUUUUCCUCAUUUUCAAGAUUAGUUACUACUCAUUGCAAAUAAGUAGGGGAAGCUUCCAAAAAAGGUUCCCCAAGCUUCUCCACUAAAAACCUGGUAAGCAAAAAUAUCCUCAACCUAGGUAAAAAAGAAAAAAAAAAAAAAUUUAGAAUAAAAAGGAAAGAUAAUUUUUACUUUUCAUGUUCCCGAACUGUUGAAAUUAAGCAUUUUAUAAUCGAUUAAAUUAGUCCUCUAAUCUGUUAAAAGGCCGUCCCUUCCAGUGGUUUCGCCCAGGCUGGCCACCAGACCCUCAGGAAAUGGGCCCGGCUAGCAAAGCUGCCUUGGGGCCCAUAGCCGCUCUCGGCAGCCUGGCAUUAAUGUUUUCAUCUUCCUUUUCGAUAAUAAAUACUGUACCGUAAUAAUGCUAGAAAGUACCAAGUUUAUAUACCGUAGUUUCAACAUUGCAAUCAAUGUCAUUCUUGCACCUGAUGAUAACACCUAUAAAUACAGUCAAAAUGAGAAUCUUGUGAAAGCGUAAAGAUGAGUUUGUUUGUUUGUGAGAAACGUGAGUCUAAGGUGAUGUAUUUCAGAUAUUCCAGUCAUUCAUUAUUUAAUUAAUUAGUCUGCCAAUUAUAGCUUACAUCAUUUUUAUGUUCAAUGACUUUAUGACUUUUGAGAGGUCAAUGUUUAUGCUUAACCUACAUGUGUAGGAAGUUCAAUUUGUUUAUUUCUAUGAAAGACUAUGCAAUUAAUAUGGUCCUUGUUUGCUAUUUGUAAAAUCUUCUUAAUAUUUUAGCUUAACUUUGUUUGUAAUUUGUUAGUUUUAAGUGUCUAUUUAUUAUUAUCCCUUUUACUACCAUUUUAAUGUGUAAUAUGUGACCGACUCUGGCAAAACAAGCCAUUUGUAGGAAAAAAAGCAAAAUUUAGUUUUUUUUGUGAUUUUAGAUUCUGCAUGAAUUCUUUAAUUUUAUUUGAUGGAAAUUGGUCGAGUAUUACGGCCGUUCCAAGACAAAACAACGUAACUGCACAAAAAUAUAAUAGCAGGCGUAGUUUUGCCAUAGGAUGGCCGAUUAGCGAAGUUAUGAAUAUUUAAUUUAUUGGAUAUCACCCAUAUAGGUUUUUAAAAAACAGCUUCCAAAGAAAAAUUCCAAAAUCAAUAGUUUAUUAUUAGGAUUUGUAUAUUAAAAAUAAUUUUAAUUUACUUUUCAAUUAAAUUUAGUGAUUGAUAUUUUGCAGAAAUGUUCUUAUAUCUUCUUUUUAUGAUGCAAAAACACGAAAAUGUUAAAUUCUGAUUUUCAAACAUUUUGGGUGUUUGUGUGAAAUUAUAAAUUGUGACAAAUGGCUGGGUUUACCACACAUAUAUCUUUAUAUCUGUAAUUUUUUUUUUGUGUAAAUUUUACACAAUUUAUUCGUUGGCUAUGUAAGUUAUAUUUUGAAUCUAUUUUGAAAUGUUCACUUAUUAAUAUUAUCAAUGUGAGAAUGUGGAGUUCUAAAUCUUACAUUAUUUCACUAUUUGAAAUGUCUAAUUUUGUAUAUUCAAGUUAGAUAUUAAGUUACAGUUGAACAUUUGAAUGAGAAAAGGCUGCCAAUUCAAUAAUGCCUUUCAUUUUGUAUUCUUUGGCAUUGGCCAUUAAAUUGUA